AACAGAGGAACUGGUGAUUGCUGUGUGUCUGGUACGGGGGGUUCUGGGUGUCAGCGCUGUGUGCCACACUCAGAUAAGACAGGGCUGAGAACUGAAAAAAAGUGUCCUCUUUAGUUUACUUCCUGGUGCCUGCGGGACAGUCCGGGAAGUCCCCUCGUCACUGACGGGCUCUCAAGGGAGCCUGCUGGGAGCCUGGGAGCCGAGUGGCAGCGAGUCAAAGUGUAGACAUGGCUUGGGGUGGCGGGGUGAACCUCGUGGUCCCAGUGCUCAGAGGUGGGCUGGGAAGCCAAAAAGACUUUGAAAGCAGCAGAGCCACAUCCGGCAGCGGACACAACCCUCUGCACAGUUAGAACUGUGCACACAGGCAGAGGGGAAAGCUGAUCACUGGAGUGCUCUGGAGGCUACGAGAAAAUUCUCCAAGGCCAAAUCCCCUUCUGCUGAAUUGAUUGAAACUUCUGCAGCUCUGUUCUCCAGAAGACUCACACGUACAGCUGUUUACAGGGAUGGAGACGCUGGUGGGUUACUGGAUCAUUUACCUUUGUCCAAGCCUCGGAGCUGAGCUGCCUCCUCCCUCACCCUCAUUGCCCGCACAUCGGCUUCCCUUUCCUCUCUGUUAUGUAAUCUUUAUGUGAGGGUUCUGGAACUUCUCCAGGAAGUACAUUUGAUGUGAGACUGAGUAAUCUCUGACUCUUGAGAGGAAGCCAAAGACGCAGAAAUGCAUUCAGGAGACUUUAGAGCAGAAGAGAAGAGUGUGCCCCGGAGACCGUCUCCUGGGAGAUGGUUGGACGGGACUGGUUGGAAUGAACCACAGACGGCUUGGACACUGGACAAGUGCAAAGCAGGUGCCUGGAUGGGAAUCCUUCGUGCAUUCUCCUCACCUGUGCAGCAAAGGGCACCAGCUCUGUGAUGUUCUUUCUAUGCCAGUGAUUCUCACCUUGAUCACAUAUUAAAAUCAUCAGUGGCACUUCAAA